rnacentral:piRNA from 1 species
UGGGGCUUGUUGAUGUUCUGUCUCUCGCAGU